rnacentral:rRNA from 1 species
UACGUAGGGGGCAAGCGUUGUCCGGAAUCAUUGGGCGUAAAGAGCGCGUAGGCGGUCCGGUAAGUCGGUUGUGAAAACUGGGGGCUCAACCCUCAGAGGCCGACCGAUACUGUCGGGCUAGAGUCCGGAAGAGGCGAGUGGAAUUCCUGGUGUAGCGGUGAAAUGCGCAGAUAUCAGGAGGAACACCGGUGGCGAAGGCGGGUCUCUGGGCCGAUACUGACGCUGAGGAGCGAAAGCGUGGGGAGCAAACAGG